GGGGUAAAAAAUUAUUAAUAAAAUAAGUUCAGGGGGGUAAUAGGACCUUAGUAUAGUAUAAAUGUGUCUCUGAUAUUUCGGGCAUAGAUUGAGGGGGUACUUGGCCAUUAUCCCUUAAAAUGUAGAGAGAAGAAGAAAUGGUGGAUGCUUAUGGAAGUUGUCAAUCACAACUUUCUCAGUCUGUUGGAUUGCUCAAACAACUACUCCCUAAAUAUGUGUAGAGAGAAGAAAAAAUGGGGAAUGAUAAUGGGAGUCAUCAAUCACAACUUCCUCAGUUUACUAGAUUGCUCAAACAACUGCUCCCUAAAUAGGGUAUGAACAAGUUCUGUGUUUUUUGAUAGUUUAUAUUAAAUUAGGAGGGAAAAUAAUUUUUCAAAAUUAUUUUUCGUGUUGCUUUGAAAUUGAAUUGUAAUUAUCACUUAGAUUGCUAAAAAAUAUAACGCAAAUUAUUUUUGAUUUUUCAUUGAUUACAAAACUACAUCUAAACAUCUUGAAUAGUUCCAAUUGUAGAUUGAUGAAUGAUGAGAUUUUGAAGAAAGAGAAAUACAUUGAAAGUUAG